GCGAUGCAGCAACGUUGCCGUCCUGCGUUCUGCCAUUUUAAGUGGAAUGGAAUUGGAGCAGGUUGGAAUCUUCUCCAAUUAUUUACCUUUUUAUUCCUCAUUUUGGCUAAGUGUGGUAGCAAAUGCAUACUACGUGAACGCUCAAUAUGGUUCCAAAAUGUUGAUUUAAUUAUAAAUGAUUUUGACUAUCUAAAAGGUGAUGAUAAUUCGUGUUUCAAUGACCUUUAUGUUGUUUUAUGUUAUUAAUAUCAAGUAAAUGAUUUUUACCGUAUUAAUAUAUCUAGUAUUAUUAAGUGGCGUCGUUUAAUGUAAUAUAUAAUGAUUUUUUUGUGAUUAAACUAAUUAACCCACUGCAAAUGAUAUCCUUUGAACGAAAAUUUGGCGGGGCCCUUUUGCGGUAAAUGUUCGGGAACUGAACUCCCAAAACCAAUCCAAACAUAUUACUAGUUCUGCACAGAUUGGAUAGCACGAAGGAUUCGUACACUACGCUUAAUUUCACAGAGAUGGGAACAGUGAAAAUGUUCUGACAGUUGUAAGAAGUUAUGCAAGUGCACCAACUUUCUUACACCCCUUUUUUUCACCCUCUUUUUUGUGUUCAUGGAGUUUGGUGUGAGUAGCUAAACAGCACUACAGCUAACAGUCGCAUUUUUACUUCUAUACAACAAAGGCUCUCAGCGAGGCUGCUGAAUCAUUCGGCGGGGGCUGCCCAUUGGGUUCGGACGCUGCGCGGGUUUAUCCCAGUAUUUUGCUGAUUGCAGGAUUGGUCUGACAGCGUUCUUGGGAGAUUUCAAGCCCAGGUUCCUCACCAUCGACUCUUCAUCGUUCAGAAACCCUGUCCCAGAAGAACACAAUCAAAUAAAUAGCUAUUAAGCUUGAUCACACAUAGUUGCUGUUUUAUGAUGGAAGAGAUGCGAUGGAUUACCAUAGUCAAUUAUUCCUUUCUUCAGGGCCUCUGCAGCUACCACGGAUUGGUGGAAAGCUGCAUCAUCAAGCUCCGCCUCGAUAAUGGAUAAUUCAUCCCCGAUUCCAAGAUCAAUAGUGUCUGGCAGCAGGUUGGCCACAUCCUCCUCAUCAUUAACAUCGAAGGUUUCUUGAUC
rnacentral:lncRNA from 1 species